rnacentral:ncRNA from 1 species
GGACGGUGUGAGGCGGGUAGCAGCCCCCAGCAUGCUGGGACUGGGUCUUAGAGUCCAGUUGCUUGGGAAUGCAGCCCAAAGCUGUGGUAAACUCCAUCUAAGGCUAAAUACUGGCAGGAGACCGACAGUUAACAAGAACCGUAAGG